AUUGAACGCUAGCGGGAUGCUUUACACAUGCAAGUCGAACGAGUGGCGGACGGGUGCGUAAUAUAUCGGCACGUGCCCAGUAGCUGGGGAUAACUACUCGCAAGCGUGGCUACUACCGCAUAAUAUUAUUGCGGCCGGUCUCGGUUUAGCUAGUUGGUGUGGUAAAGGCUAACAAAGGAAACGAUCCGUAGCUGGUUUGAGAGGACGACCAGCCACACUGGGACGGAGACAAGGCCCAGACGCCUACGGGAGGAAGCAGUGGGGAAGUUGGGACAAUGGGGGAAACCCUGAUCCAGCCAGCCCGCGGGUAUGAGAAGGCCUUCGGGUUGUAAAGUACUUUUGGCAGAGAAGCGGUAUCUGCAGAAUAAGCACCGGCUAACUACGUGCCAGCAGCCGCGGUAAUAC
rnacentral:rRNA from 1 species